UGUACACCGCGGCUCCGACGAGUCGAGUUGUUUGGGAAUGCAGCUCUAAGUGGGUGGUAAAUUCCAUCUAAAGCUAAAUAUUGGCGAGAGACCGAUAGCGAACAAGUACAGUGAUGGAAAGAUGAAAAGCACUUUGAAAAGAGAGUGAAACAGCACGUGAAAUUGUUGAAAGGGAAGGGCUUGCAAGCAGACACGGUUUUACCGGGCCAGCGUCGAAAAGGGGGGAGGAACAAGAACUCGAGAAUGUGGCGCGCACCUUCGGGCGCGCGUGUUAUAGCUCGUGUUGACGCCUCCAUCCCUUUUCGAGGCCUGCGAU
rnacentral:rRNA from 1 species